UUGCUUUGGCAGCACAUAUAACAAAAUUGGACGAUACAGAGAAGAUUAGCAUGGCCCCUGCGCAAGGAUGACAAGUAAAUUCACAAAUUGUUCCAUAUUUAA
ensembl:snRNA U6 U6 spliceosomal RNA